AUAUAUAUAAUCAAAAAGUGACUGAUACCAUAUAGUUGUUCCAAUACAUAUACCAAAACAUAAAAGUCAAUCAGUCAACAUCAUUACAUGGCCCAAAAGAUAGAUCCUAGAAAGAGACAAAAGACAAGACUAACUACAAGGAUCUAGUAGAGCUCAUGACUGGAUGGAUCAGAGUCAGAUGAAUCGAAGAUAGGGUGGGG
rnacentral:lncRNA from 1 species